GAUAUUCCUUGACCUUAAAGCUGUGCCGAAUAAUAUUUCAUUUUCUGGAUAUACCUCACUUUAUCUACUUGCUACAGAAGGGCAUCCUGCUUACUUUAAAGUUUUGGCAAUUAGGAAUAAAGCUGCUAUAAGCAUCCAGUCCUGCAGGUUGAAAAAUCCAAGAUCAUGGCACUGGCAGGUUUUGUGUCUGCUGAGGGCCUGAUCUUCACUUCCAAGAUGGUGGCUCGAGUGCUGCCUUCUCCAGGAUACAGGAAUACUGUUCCUCACAUGGAAGAAGUGAAAGAUCAAUGAAUCCACUCUUGCAAGCCAAUUUUUGCUCUGUUUGUUUGUUUUUGAGACAAGGUCUCACUCUGUCACCCUAGAGGUUGGAGUGCAGUGGCACAAUCUCUUCUCCCUGCGACCUCCACUUCCCUGCUCAAGUGAUCCUCCCACCUCAGCCUCCCAAAUAACUGGAACUACAAGCGAUGACUACCAAAAAAUGUCUAAUUUGUUUGUUUGUUUGUUUUUGCUAGAGACUGGCUUUUGCUAUGUCAGCCAGGCUGGUCUCGAACUCCCAGGCUCAGCCUAUCCACCUGCCUGGGUCUCCCAAAGAGCUUGGAUUAUAGACAUGACCCACUGCAUCCAGCCACAAGCCCAUUUUAUAAUGGCAUUAUUCCAUUCAUGAGGUCAGAGCCCUUGUGACCUGAACUCUUAUCCUUAGGCCACAAAUUCUAAUGCUGUUGCAUUAGGAAUUAACUUUCUGACACAUGAAUUUUAAGGAAGACAAAAACAUUCAAACUACAGCAGAUUUUAUUCUAUAUGUAAUUGUUCAAGAAAGUGAAUUACUGUACAUGAAUAUAAGGAGUUUUUUCACUAAGAACUCUCAAAAUAGUAAAAACAGAGGAAUAAAAACAGAACAAGGGUAACUGAGACUAAACUAGCAAGACACCUUCAAAGAAGCCACAAUAGUUCAGAGAACUAAAACAUGGAUUCAAGAUUUAUGGAAACUUAAAAAAAAGAGCUUGACAAUUUUAUAAAGACUGAAUAGGAAUAUAAUUAAUCCAAGAAUUUCCUUUAUGGCCUGAAAGGUGACAUAAUAAUAAUACAAACAAACACUUAUGCAGCAUUUAUUAUGAACAGUGCUUUUCAAGAUCAUUUAAUUCUGUCAACAAUUCUGUGUAGCAAAUAAUAUGAUUUUUUUUAUAGAAGAGAAUAGGGGUGACAAGGGAAGCAUGGUGGCUGAUUAUUAACAUUACACUGGAAUCUUCCACAGAGUAAAAUAUUGUGUGUAAACAAGCAAAGAUAUUUGAGUUACAGAUUUAAUUCAAUACUUUAGUGUUGCAUGAUAUCUUAAUGAAGGAAACCCAAAAUUCUGUAAUCAAGAAAGAUAAAUUUUAAUGCUUCAUAGAUAGAUUUAUUAUUCAAAAGAUUAAUACAACAAUAUGUUGGCCAAAUACAGCCCCCAUUGCAAAGUAGUAUUAACAAAUACGUGCAGAAAACUAACACUUUACCCACAUACAUUGAUUUAGAUUUUUUCCAGAAAGUUUAAUUUCAUAUAAAUAUUUUACCACUUUAUAUUAGGUUGCUCCAAAAGUAAUUCUGGUUUUUGCUAAUAGGUAUGAAUUUUCAGUCGAAUAUUUGCAAGGAAUACUAGAUUCUGCAACUAAUGCUUUAUAGGGAAAAUAGUCACUAACAUAGAAGAACAAAAACUCUAUUUUAAAGUUAGCCCAUAUGUCUGACUCUUCAAAAAAAUUUUUACUACUGCACUGACAGGUGAAAUUUCUUUCGUGCUGGGGGGAUGUAGGGGAAAGAAUCACAAAGUUUUUACAGAUUUAUUUCCUUUCCAGAUUCUAUUUGCAAAGCAAGGCUUACAAAAGUUUUUUAAUAUAGAUUUAAGUUUUCCAUGAUAGUGGGAAAGUUUUCAAGAUAGCUCUAUAAACAUAAUCUCCUAAAUCUGAUGAGUCUCUGCUAGACAUGAAAAAAAAUACAUUGUCUUUCACAUCUUUCUGUGCUAAGAAUUUAGGCUGCAAAGAAAAUUUAAAGGCGAAAUUCUUAUGUGAACUUAUUUAUUCUAUAUAAUUAUUAGACUUCAUUUUGUCUAAUCAUUAUUGAUCAUUUAAUAAAAUCAGUUGGGGAUAAAAUAAUUCUCUAUGUCUCAUUGGUUUUCUGUGCUAUUUUACUCUACAUUCAAUAAAAAGAAAAAUAUAUAAAUAACAUUUAUCACAUACUCCAUUAAGUCUAACAUAUGCUAGCAGAGCACACUGCAGUCAAAUUGUGUAUGUCUGUGUAAAAUUGGUGCUGUUCCUUCACUAAAAAACAUCUAGUAAAUGAAACUAUAGUCCAACAAGUAGACUUAUUUUGGCUUUGCAUUGAAAUGAAACAAGCGUACAGAUUCUAAAUUCACAGUCCUUUUUGGCUAAAAAGUCCACACUUUAUAAUUAAUGCAUUAUUUUGGUUUAUGUUGC
rnacentral:lncRNA from 10 species